rnacentral:sRNA from 1 species
AAAUGUAAUAGUUUGGUAACUCAAGGGUGGUUGGCUCACUCCUCUAUUCAGAAUGGGGGUGAGGCCUUAUGACAGUAUUUGAAGCAUUAAUGUUUGCAGUAGCAUUCGCAGCAUUAAUUGUAUCAAUACUUUCGUCAGUAAAUAAAAAAUAACCCAUCCUUGAGUUUGCAGGCACGGAUGGGUUAGUACUAUCUUGUAGCCAAUCCCCUUGUAGGGACCAACUAUUAUUGUUGACUACUUGAUGCUGGAACAUCAGGU